ACUGCUCCACUCCUCAUCCUCCUGGGCUGGACCCAGCUCCCCUCCUUGCCUAUCAGGGCCGAGCCCUGCCAUGCUCAAAGCCCUCCAGAGCUGACCCCUCUCUCCUCUUCAUCCUCCCAGCUCUGGGACCUUCUCCACUCCUUGCACUCCAAGCCUGGGCCCCGCUCCCAUUCCAGCCCUCCAUGGUCGGGCCCACUGCCAUCAACACCCUAUAGGGCCAGACCCUGCUGCACUCCUAGAUCUCCAGGGAUUGGACUCCACUCCCCACACUGCCCUGGAGGGCCAGGCCACACUCCUCUAAACACCCUCAGGGCCAGAUCUGCUCCCCUCCUCACUCUCUAGGGCCGGGCCCCACUCCCCUCCUCACCACCCAGGGCCAGGGCCUGCUCUCCUCCUUGCACUCCAGGACUGGGCUUCGCACCCCUCCUUGCCUUCCUGGGUUCAGCCCUGCUACCCUCAGGCAUGGCCAUGGCCACCUUCCCGGGCUCAGCCCCCCUCCCCUCCUUGCCCUGCAGGAUUGGGCCCUGCUCCCCUCAAGCAGUUGCUGGCCUAUUCCAGGGCGAGGCCCCACUCCAAUCCUGGCCCUCCAGGGCCAAGCCCUGUACCCUUCCUCACCCUCAGGCCUGGGCCCAUCACCUCACGCUGCCCUCCAGGGCCAGGUCCCACCCCCAUACUGCCCUCCAGGGCCAGGCCCCACUGCCCUCAACGUCCUCUAGGGCUGGGCUUGCACCCCUCCUUGCCCUCCAUGCCAGGCCCAGUUCUGCCAAAAGCCCUCCAGAACUGGACCCUGCUCCACUCCUCAUCCCCAGGGCCAGUGCCCGCUCCCUUCAGGCAGGGCCCUGGCCAUGCUCCAGGGACAGGCCCCUCUCUCCUCCUUGCCCUCCAGUGCCAGGACCAGCACCCCUUAGGCAGGGCUCUGGCCACCUCCCAGUAAUGGACCCUUCUCUCCAUGCGAUACCAAGCAGGGCCCGGCUCCCCUUGGGCGCUGAAGUAGCCACCCAUGAGUUCUGGGCCCCACUCCUCUCCUUGCCCACCCGGGCCUGCGCCCAGCACCAUUGGUGCCCUCCAAGGCUACACCCCACUCCCCUCACCAACCUCCAGGACUGGACCCCGCUCCCCUCUUUGCCUUCCAGGGCCUGGAUUCAGCUCCCCAUACUGCCCUCCAGGGCCAGUUCCCACUCCUCUCCCUGAGUGCCUCAUUCUCCCAUGCUCGGUAGCUGCCUGUCCCUGGGAGUACAGGCUGGUCCUCCAUGUGGUUUGCACUUGCAAGUCCCUCCUGUUGUUCAAACCCGUCCUGUGUACGUGCACAGCACUAACUGAUUUGCAUUUAUGAUCUCAUUUCAUCCCACCAGGAGCCCUGUCAUCACUGGAUCGUCUUUCUCUGUGCAACCUGGCUCCUACUACCUCUCUGCCUUGGUAGAGAUAUAGACAAUGAGAGAGAGAGAGAGAGGUCUUCCUUCCAUUGGUUCACUCCCCAAAUGGCCGCUAUUGCUGGUGCUGAACCAAUCUGAAGCCAGGAGCCAGGUGCUUCUUCCUGGUCUCCCAUGUGGGUGCAGCAGCCCAAACACUUGCACUGCCUUCCUGGGCCACAGCAGAGAGCUGGACUGGAAGCCGAGCAACCGGGACUAGAACCCGGCGCCCAUAUGGGAUGCCGGCACCACAGGCGGAGGAUUAACCAAGUAGCCACAGUGCCAGCCAGUACCUUGUGCCUUGUAAUGACCCAUUCUUCAGCUAGACGGUAAGGUUUAGAAGGUGUCAUUUUUCUUUCUUUUAUACUCAGCUCUUCGUGUAGUCCCUCGUGUGUGGGAAUGAGAGUCAGGCUCAAGCAGAAGCUCAUGUCAUAUUAGUUAAUGUAUAAUCAAGGCUACACCCAGGCCCCCAAGUUCUCACUCAUGGGUCCUGUCUAGGCCCCACCCACUGAUGCGGCCAGAAGCCACCUGGAAAGCAACACCUCGAAGAACACGACUGCCUGCUGGGAGCAGCUGUUCCGCCCAGGUCCAGGGGAGAAUCUUGUGGUUGUACUGGAAGCAUCAGGGCAACCAUUUUACAGGCUCCUAGGAAGCAGGAAGAGGAGGGCCUUAGAGAUGCCCCUUUCCACCCACUCCCAGCCUGCCCAGGAAGGAGCCACAGGAAGGCCACAGCAAGGCCAUGUAAGUGCGGCAGCUCCAAAGUGGGC